rnacentral:rRNA from 1 species
CCUACGGGCGGCUGCAGUGGGGAAUAUUGGACAAUGGGCGAAAGCCUGAUCCAGCCAUGCCGCGUGUGUGAAGAAGGCCUUCGGGUUGUAAAGCACUUUCAGUGGGGAAGAAAGCCUUGGGGCUAAUACCCUCGAGGAAGGACAUCACCCACAGAAGAAGCACCGACUAACUCCGUGCCAGCAGCCGCGGUAAUACGGAGGGUGCGAGCGUUAAUCGGAAUUACUGGGCGUAAAGCGCGCGUAGGCGGUCUGAUAAGCCGGUUGUGAAAGCCCCGGGCUCAACCUGGGAACGGCAUCCGGAACUGUCAGGCUAGAGUGCAGGAGAGGAAGGUAGAAUUCCCGGUGUAGCGGUGAAAUGCGUAGAGAUCGGGAGGAAUACCAGUGGCGAAGGCGGCCUUCUGGACUGACACUGACGCUGAGGUGCGAAAGCGUGGGUAGCAAACAGGAUUAGAUACCCGUGUAGUC